rnacentral:lncRNA from 1 species
AUCCCGUUCCAGGGCCCGGCUGUGUGCCCAGGGCUCUUUUCCACCUUUCGCCAGGUUGCCAGACCCUUCUGGGCACCCGAGGCUGGAAGAAAGCAGAGUGUGGGGGGCCUGUCCUGAGAGGGGCAUCGUGACAGCUCGGCUUCGGAGGCUGGGUGGGCGCUGAGGGCCGGGGGGACCCAAGCACAGCAGCGCCCCCCCCCCGCCCUGGGCCCCCCUGCUCCCCGUGUCCUGGGCAUCACAGGGUGGAGAGCAUGCUUUGCAGCAAACUCGCGUGGAGUCGUGAAGGCCGCGAGCCGGAGUGUGGUCAGUGCCGCCGCGAGGCCCUAAGAUGGGCCCGUGUGGAGCCUAGACGUGCGCGCAGGUGGGCUGGCCCGGGUCAGGGGUUAGGCUCACACGGUGGGGCUUAUUCCCGGGGCAAGAGCUGUGUCCCCGUAAACCAGUGUCUAGAAGCAGGACUGACUGCGGCGGGCAGCGUUCCCUGAGACCUCAGAUCCCCAAGUAAUGACAUAAAUAUUUGCGUACUGAGCGCAGUCUCCGUUUUGGGGAACCCCUGUAACCCCGAGUUUGCCCACAGCGCUUCACUCCGUCUCUGUGUUUGCUGCCUGCAGGUGAGACGUGGUGAGACGUGAUCCCAAAUGUGCUUAGAGGAGAAGGGCGUGAGGAGAGCGUCUGCCGGAGUCCUCUGGGCGCACUCGGGGGUGCGCGUGUGCGUGUGCAAAUGGGUUUAAACUUGAAACGCAGGUUUCCUCGGUCCAUUCGUCUGCGGGCGGCUAGAAUUCAGUGACAGGGAAAGAGAGCUGCACAUGUGCCAAUAACUUGAGCAUGACUGACAGCCAGACGAAGUUGGUAUUCUUUCUGCAAUUCUGGAAACUUCUAGAAGAUAUGUUGGAAUGCUCUUUUGAAAAUAGUUCAUGUAGAAAUAGUGUUAUAUACACAAAAAUACCAAAAAAAAAAAAAAAAAAAAAAA